GAUGAACGCUGGCGGCGUGCCUAAUACAUGCAAGUCGAGCGAACAGACGAGGAGCUUGCUCCUCAGACGUUAGCGGCGGACGGGUGAGUAACACGUGGAUAACCUACUUAUAAGACUGGGAUAACUUCGGGAAACCGGAGCUAAUACCGGAUAAUAUAUUGAACGGCAUGGUUCAAUAGUGAAAGACGGUUUUGCUGUCACUUAUAGAUGGAUCCGCGCCGCAUUAGCUAGUUGGUAAGGUAACGGCUUACCAAGGCAACGAUGCGUAGCCGACCUGAGAGGGUGAUCGGCCACACGGGAACUGAGACACGGUCCAGACUCCUACGGGAGGCAGCAGUAGGGAAUCUUCCGCAAUGGGCGAAAGCCUGACGGAGCAACGCCGCGUGAGUGAUGAAGGUCUUCGGAUCGUAAAACUCUGUUAUUAGGGAAGAACAAAUGUGUAAGUAACUAUGCACGUCUUGACGGUACCUAAUCAGAAAGCCACGGCUAACUACGUG
rnacentral:rRNA from 1 species